rnacentral:lncRNA from 1 species
CAAAAACAUAAAAAAUUGAUUGAAAUUCUCUCUCACUUCUCACCCACGGUAGCCAGACUAGAGUUGACUAGACUCAGUAUCAGUAAUCUUUUUAGGGGGGAAAUUAAGCCAGCCUAACUGUUUCAGGUCUCAUCGACUGCAGAUAAAUCGCUUAGUCUAACCCUAACUCACGCAUUGGCUUUUUUUUAGUCUUUCGAUCUCAAUUCACCAUCAUCGUCAUUGAUCUAGACUCUAGUGUUGGUCCCGGCAGCCACCACCCACUCGUCACCGCCCCGCUCACAAUAAAAAGAACAAGAUGUGUGUGAAAGUGAAGUGCAGCAAGUGUGGCAAGUUCACAUGGAGAGGUUGUGGUGCUCACGUCGAGCAAGUCAUGGCGGAAAUUCCACCAGAGCAACGGUGCCAGUGCCCUCGGUAGUUGGAGAAAGCUGUCGGCUCUUAUCCUCUCGCAGAGUGGCUCUGCCGAUGCAGGAACCAACAAGAUGCUUAAGAUGGGACACAGUCCAAGAGAUUGUUUUAAACCAUGUUUCCUGUCUCACAGGGUCCAAAAUUGAUCUAUGAGAUGACUUUUUGGGGGGGGGGGGGGGUGAAACUUGAAAGUGGGAUCUUUCAUAUCGUUGGUGCUGCAAGCAAUCAAUCCACUUAACUCAGGCCUUUUUUUUACAUCCGAGACAAAAGACCUGUCUUUGUUGUAUGCUGUGUUCUUUCUGUCAUGAAUCAUGAAAAGGAAGAAAAUUGUAAGCCUAGACCAUAGCAUAAUACUGCAUAGUGGUGAUAUUGAAAAGUGCAUCUUUGGUAGAGAUUUGAGAGGGUGUGGAAAUAUAAAAUUCUCAAUAUUUGGAUUGAAGUGGAUUGUUUGCGGAAGCAACGAUAUAUAUAGAUCUAAUGUGGGGUCUCUUAUUCAGCUCAUAUCAGAUUCAGCUAUUGCUGAUAUUGCUUUUCUUUGAAAUGAACUUCCUGCUUAUAUAUUAUAGUGUCGUAAAUAUCUAGUUUUCCCUCUCUGUGUUUGCUCUUAGACUUUAUAGGAUGUUGAUCAAAACCUUAUUAUAUUUAUUUCACCACUGUGUUUGCUUUAAAUCUUUUGGCAGAGGUCCAUAGUUCUAAUUUUUCUGUUAUUUGUAUUGUAACCAAGGGACCAGUUUUCUGCAUUUAUAAUUCACUUUUGUGCUUUUCUUCUUUUAGCUUUAUCCUUUUCUUAGAGAUGCCCAUUUUCCAGAUUUUGGAAAUUUUCUAGUCUAGAUUUUGUCAGACAUGUGCGUCAUGUCUUAUUGCACUUUGUAUAAAAAUAGUCUCAAUACAAGAUGUACGAGACAAUGUGAUCCGUACAUUUUCCGCGGGGUCCAAAAUGUUCCGGAUUUUUUGUUCAUAGCCAGCUGGUACCCCUGGUCCAUACAUACCGGUAUGACUUUUCCGGUGACAGCGGACAGCAAUAAUCUAGGCCCAUUUUUUUAGAAAGGUUUCACCAAAAGUUUUUCUGUAAGAAAUUAUUUUCUUUACUUGAGCAUGUAAAUGAUAAUCGCGGUUUAGUUUCUUUGGAAAGGUAAAUGCUAAAAAAACUUAAAUUCUGCAUUUUUUAAAUGUGAUAAAUUAAGCUUGGCAUAUAGAGCUAUCUUCAUAUUUUGUAUGGAAAGCAUUUUGUGCUUUUCUGUUUUCUCAAAGAAAUUUUGUUUGAAUUUUAAAGAAAGUGUUGAUACGGUAUCAAUUAUGCAUCCAGACUGGACUUAGCCCUGUCCAUUAUUAGUAUGCAGUUUUCAGCAAGCAGUUUAUUUUGUUGGAUUUUUAUUUCCAGUAUAGAAUUUAUAUUAAAGAGGACUGUUCCUCUACGCAACCAGUGCAUCCUGUUAUACAUCUCGUCCACUUGGAUUUGCUCAUCUUUUGUCCUGUUACCUUUUUAACCACAUGAGGUGGUUAUGAUAAUGCCUUUAUGCUUAUCUUUUAUAGCUCAGCCAGUCUCCUGCCGACUAUACAAACAUGAAAUGCAAUUUUUAUCAGUUGAGAGUCUGAGACAGAGUGAUAUUGUUAGAAAAACAUAAACCAACGGGUGUUUUCCUAUAUAUAUAUAUAUUGCCAUUAAUUGCCUUUCUACUCUUUGUUAUGUUCUGAUGUUUCCUACUCUUGUUUAAAUAGAUCUGAAGAAAUCAACAAA